rnacentral:misc_RNA from 1 species
GAUGAAGAACGCAGCGAAAUGCGAUAAGUAGUGUGAAUUGCAGAAUUCAGUGAAUCAUCGAAUCUUUGAACGCACAUUGCGCCCUCUGGUAUUCCGGGGGGCAUGCCUGUCCGAGCGUCAUUGCAAACCCUCAAGCCCGGCUUGCGUGAUGGGUCGCAUCGUCCCCGAAGGCCCUCCGGGGCGGGUGGGACGGGCCCGAAAGGCAGCGGCGGCGUCGCGGUCAUCCGAUCAGCCCAAGCGUAUGGGGACAUCCGUCACACGCUAGGGGCGCGGACCGACGCCCGCCUGGAACGUCACACUUCUCAAGGUUUGACCUCGGAUCAGGUAGGGAUACCCGCUGAACUUAAGCAUAUCAAUAAGCGGAGGA